AUUAUUUGUGCCGGAACGGAGAGGUGAGGAGUGAUACAGUGUAUUCCAGAGUAAAGUGCUUGGAAUUGACACCAAUCUCUUCAAUGUGGUCAACCAAGUAUGGGGAAAUGUGUGCAAGGUAUGAUGUUUAAGGAAGUGCUUUGUGAGCGUGCACACCAAGAACACUUUACAUUCAUCAAACUACUAACAUAUAAAACCAACAACCAAUGGAAAUUAUAGUACGCCUUUAAAAUACAUGCCCAAAGUCAUUUCUAACCAUAUCACUGGUCUGUCCAUACUGCUUACAAGGUGGUGGAACUCAGCGAUGAGGGCUGGGUCCAAGAUGUUCCAAGCGGGGACCUAGCACCCCUCCUCUGGGCCAUAACCAUCCCAGUCAACCAGGUACUGGAAUCCCCUGCCCCGAGGUCGAGCACUCAGGAGGCGCCUCACCGGGUAAGCUGGAUGUCCGUCAAUGAGACGGGGGAGAGGGGUGGGCCUGGAAACAGGAGACAAAGGGCUGUGAGACAGAGGUUUAAUCCUGGACACAUGAAAAGUGGCAUGUAUACAGAGGCUAAGAAUCUUAGCGAUGUGGAAAGGGCUGAUAAAACAGGGGGAAAGUUUAUGGGACUCCACUCGGAUGGGCAGAUCCCGAGUGUACAGCCAUACCCUCUGCCAAAGACAGUAGCGGGGAUCAGGGGUCCGGUGGCGGUCCGCCUGUCGCCGAUACCUGGAGGUAGUCUUGAGAAGAGCAGAGUUUGCUGAGCACACAUACAGUGCGGGCGGUGACGAAUGCAGAGACAUCAGGAACCAUGGUGGGCCACCAAAAAUGUUGUCGUACAAAGGUGUCGUGUCUUUGGCUAUGCUGGAUUAAGUAAUAUGACAUGCUAUUCUAUAAAAUUAUUUCUCCGUAAUUACUAUUACCUGAUUGAGAUAAUCAUGUAAAUGUAAUUAACUAGAAAGAAUAUUUAUAGAGCUGUUAUCUUCCGAAUAAACUCUUAAAAAUCUAGUAAUAUUUUA